rnacentral:lncRNA from 1 species
GCUUUGAUUCGGUCUUGUUGUAGGACCUUUUCCCUCAGCCAUUCCGUCUUUAAUUUGAAAUAAAUAAAAAAGUAUUAGUUAUCUAAGUUAUUCAAUAUAAUUCAGGAGAUAAUGAAAAGAGACAUGUAACGUACUCUGAGCGUCUCUAUGGGUGUUUGAUUGACUUGUGCCAUCAUGAAUUUGCACACAUAAUAUGCACAUAGAUUGUUCCCCCUUCUUGUCUUAAACACCACUGUACGAUAUAUAUAUAUAUAUAAAUAUUCACGACCACGACAAUAAGAAGGCUAAAAGUUAGCGAAAGUUUGUUAGCUAGUAGAACUUACUUGUGGA